UGGGGAAUAUUGGACAAUGGGCGAAAGCCUGAUCCAGCCAUGCCGCGUGUGUGAAGAAGGUCUUCGGAUUGUAAAGCACUUUAAGUUGGGAGGAAGGGCAUUAACCUAAUACGUUAGUGUUUUGACGUUACCGACAGAAUAAGCACCGGCUAACUCUGUGCCAGCAGCCGCGGUAAUACAGAGGGUGCAAGCGUUCAUCGGAAUUACUGGGCGUAAAGCGCGCGUAGGUGGUUUGUUAAGUUGGAUGUGAAAGCCCCGGGCGCAACCUGGUGACUGCAUCCAAAACUGGCAAGCUAGAGUACGGUAGAGGGUGGUGGAAUUUCCUGUGUAGCGGUGAAAUGCGUAGAUAUAGGAAGGAACACCAGUGGCGAAGGCGACCACCUGGACUGAUACUGACACUGAGGUGCGAAAGCGUGGGGAGCAAACA
rnacentral:rRNA from 1 species